AACUUUCAACAACGGAUCUGUUGGUUCUGGCAUCGAUGAAGAACGCAGCAAAAUGCGAUAAGUAAUGUGAAUUGCAGAAUUCAGUGAAUCAUAGUAUCUUUGAACGCACAUUGCGCCCGCCAGUAUUCUGGCGGGCAUGCCUGUUCGAGCGUCAUUU
rnacentral:rRNA from 1 species